UACCCGCGCCCCUAGUGGUGGUCGAUAUUAUUGAGCCUAAAACGUCCGUAGCCGGUCUUCUAAAUCCUUGGGUAAAUCGGGCAGCUUAACUGUCCGAAGUCCGGGGAGACUAUUAGGCUUGAGGUCGGGAGAGGUUAGCGGUACUCCCAGGGUAGGGGUGAAAUCCUGUAAUCCUGGAAGGACCACCGGUGGCGAAGGCGUCUGACUAGAACGGAUCCGACGGUGAGGGACGAAGCCCUGGGGCGCAAACGGG
rnacentral:rRNA from 1 species